rnacentral:rRNA from 1 species
UGUCGAAUCCUGCAAAUCAAAUGACUAGUGAAUGGGUACUUUCAAUUGGAUAGGUAGGCAGUUGGGUUCAAACCCUAUUGCAUAUCUCUCUCUCGGUCGAUUGGCGCCUUGCAUGGUUCCCGAUUGUGCCAUAUAACAUAUUUAAAAAAUCGGCGCGGGAAGCGCCAAGGACUAUACUAAAGGAAUGCCUCUCAACGGCUUGGUUGUUCCCAACCAUGGGUUGUUCGGGAUWAGGGCUCCAUUUAAAUCUAAAAUGACUCUCGGCAACGGAUAUCUAGGCUCUCGCAUCGAUGAAGAACGUAGCAAACUGCGAUACUUGGUGUGAAUUGCAGAAUCCCGUGAACCAUCGAGUCUUUGAACGCAAGUUGCGCCCGAAGCCACUAGGUUGAGGGCACGUCUGCCUGGGCGUCACACAAUGCGUCGCCCCCCUUGCAGCUCGCCUUAUACAGGACGAGUGUUGCAAAUGGGGGGGCUGGAGAAUGGCCUCCCGUGCUUAGUCCCGGCUGGCCUAAAUUGGAGUCUCUCAUUGCAGGGGUCGCAACAAGUGGUGGUUGAAAAGCUUAAACGAGUUGUGCAUGCCAYGCAAUUGAGGUGAUGUUUUGGACCCUAAAUUGGUCCUCUUACAGAGGAKUAUUUAUCACGAUUGUGACCCCAGGUCAGGCGGGGCUACCCGCUAAGUUUA